CACGAAAUUAGAUAGACAGAUCGACAAUAGUAUUGAAAAUCAGUAUUUAUAUGCUAAUUGAAAUUUGGAUAAGAAAAUGAAAAAAAAAAAGUUCAAAAGGCUUGUCCAUGGGGUUAAAAUAUUAAGCGCGCGCUCGCGGAGCAGAGCGUUGGGGUCAUUUUAAAACAAAUACCGCGUGGACACAAAGUCCGCCGUUCAACGAUGUUCUGACAGACGGGUUGUUGUCCAACGUGGCCCGAGAGUCAUGUAAACGCAAUCUGGGUCAGUGACAGUUCCACACUGGCCGGCGGACCAGGAGCAAGGAAAUGUUUUGGCUAUGCCUGUCCUACUUUGGGAUUUCACCAUUUCCGUUUCCCCCGAACAAUAUGACACAAAAAUAGAUCAGUGGUCUCCAGCCCUGGUCCUGGAGAGCUACAGGGUCUGCUGGUUUUUGUUUUCACCUUAAAAUCAGCACCCAGUUGAGACCCAAGACACCAGGAGAGCACCUCUUCACUAACAAAAAAGACCCUGACCGAUCGAAAUGAGGACACACGAUGACCAGCACUAUGCCUGAAACAAGCAUGCGACCGCUGGAGAAGAUAUUGGCUCUGGAUAUAGACACUGUACCCGGUCCUUGUAAUAUCCCAAUGAACAGCCAUUAGCAGUGUCGAUUCCUCAGCAGACCCCUCAUUACAGAGGACUUAAUGGAGCCCUGUAGCAGAUGGCAGCUGUCUGCGCCAUCACUUUCAGCUGCUCUUUAUGGCUGCUCGUUUCCAGCUCAGAUUAGGGAGCAGAACAUGCUAUCAUACUGCUGUGUGUGUGUGUGUGUGUGUGUGUCUGUUUGUGUGGGCAUGUUUUACUAUCUUUAUGAGAACCAAAUGUCCCCACAAGGAUAGAAAGAUGAGGAAAACUAUGCAAGGUGGGGACUUUUUGCUGGUCCCCACAAGUUCAAGAGGCUGUUUUAGGGUUAUGACUUAGGGUUGGGGUUAAGGUUAGGCACGUAGUGGUUGGGGUUAGGGUUAGGAGUUACGGAAUGAAUGUAAGUCAGUGGGAAGUCCUCACAAGUAUAGCAAUACAAAAGUGAGUGAGUGAGUGAGUGAGUGAGUGAGUGAGUGAGUGAGUGAGUGAGUGAGUGAGUGAGUGAGUGAGUGAGUGAGUGAGUGAGUGAGUGAGUGAGUGAGUGUGUGUGUGUGUGUGUGUGUGUGUGUGAGACUGAGAGAGAGACAGAGAGAGAGAGAGAUGCAAAGGGUGUGAGCUUGAGAGGCUAACAGAGGAAGUGUGACAUGCACUGCUCUCACCUUGUUCUUUGACUGAGGCUCGGCUACCUUGAGCACUUCGCUCCACAAUUAAGGCACUGGUGAAUGUCAUGAACUCCUGUACACUGAGAGAGAGAGAGAUACCAUGGUGGUAAUGAGGCAUGAUGUCACUAACAUCGAACACCAGAUUCCUAGCAUCAUUCAAAAGCAAACACUUGACACUUGUUGGAAAAUUAAUAUCAUAUCCCCUACACUCAGCACAGACAGACACCUUUAUUACACAGCAUAAAAUGAAACCUACUCACAGCAGCAAAUAAGAAGUUACUUGUUCCUUACCAUUUCCUGUUCUGCAUCACUGCAUUUAAUUUGCUUACCAGACACCUUUAACUGACACAUGACAACCACACAUAAAUGUGGAAUAUAUUUUCAGAAUAUAACUCUGACAGCAGCAGUGAUUUUUAACGAAAGUAACAAGGAAGAGAAUAAAAUGGUUGCCAAGCUGCUCUCUCCCACCUACCUGGACCGCUGGAAGAAGCUGAAAGAGGAGAGGUCGUAGGCAGCCUUGAGAAGGUUCGCCUUGGUGGAGCCUUUGUGAAGGACGCUGAGGCUGUACAGCUUCAUUGCGAUUCGGGGGUGGACAACCUCUUCUCAAAGAUUUGACAGCUGCUGCAAGGCCACGAGGAAGAGAGAGCUAAUGACACCGCUCACGCACAGCGGCGCGCUAGCAUACACAGAGCCAACGACACUGUUCACGCACAGCGGCGCGAUAGCACACAGAGCUAAAGGCACGGCUCACGCAAACUCCAUUAUCAGUCCCCACAUCUACUGUGCCCACCCCACUCGUCCCCCAGCAACCGCAGUCCAAUGGAACAUCGCCUUUUUUCCAGCUGCGCUGCCACUGAACAGGCUCUAAUUGGGAUGGCAACACUCUAUAAUAAGGCAUCUUAUUUCAUUCCCUGUGCAAAAUAAGAUUUAAAACAAUACAAGCCUGCAACAGAUUGUAAAGGCGAUGGGCUUCACUAAAUUAUGCCCGUUUAUUAAGUUAGCAGUACUUACAGAUAUUCAACUUAACCGAUAGAGUAAUUGCACUUGUUCAAUUGGGCGUAGAAUAAUUAAUUUAAUCACGUAUGCUUAAUUGAAACACCUUCCCUAAAUGCAUUUCAUGGGAAAAUAUUAUUCAAAAUGCAUUACAUAAACAAUAUAACCAUUAUAUAAACAGACCCAUGUACACAACAGCAUGUCUUUGAUAAAAUAGGUUCAGAGCUGACGAAAAUUCAGUAUUCGAUUAAGAGCAAAUAAUUGAAACCUCAAGAAGAUACAAACAUAAUUGACCUAUUGACUCUUGGCGUUUUGGUUACUCUGGUGCCCACAUCUAGCUUGACAGACACGUCAGAAUGGCGUGCAUUGAAAAGAAAACAAAAAUGAAAUAACGUCCUAGCUGAAGGCAGGGAUAAAAAAAACUGGCAAGUUUUUACGCGUCAUCCAAAUGUUGCGUUAAGCAGAAAAUACACACCACGUAAGGACCUUAUAAACGGUCACAAUACCGUUUUAACUAGUGUUACUAAAAGUAAGAAACAACAAAUAUUUGCACCGGUAACAGUCUGGAUUUCUGUACCGUUACACAUCUGCCUAAUUUGCACAGUGAUGCAGGCAAAUUCAGGUAUACAAGAAAGGGUCCCGUAGUCCUGACCAAGAAAUACCUUGGAAUACCACAUGCGAGAACGCAAACCUACACUCUUCUUACAAUCUUCUAUUCAAAAUAACGUAGCAAUGACUCGAAAAAGUGUUACUGGUUAACAAGUUCGCCGCAAUAUUUUGUCGAGUAACGCCUGACAAUCUUUAAACAAUUCACCGUUAUUGGGCAAAGGACCGCGGCCUGUUAUAGCCAAAGCGUCUCCAAGUAACUUUUAAAUGUAAGCUUCUCAACAGUUAGCUAGCUAGCUAACUAGCUAGCUUAUUGUCAGCCAACUAGUUUUGAUGACCACAUGUCUAUGUUGAUGACUACCCUGUUUGAUCGGGGGAAUUUCACCCAGCUCGCUACAUAGCAAGCUAGUACUUAGAAGCUAGUUCACUAUUAAAGAUGUGAGCACCAACGUUGCAGCUAGGUUAACUAGGGAUUUGAUAAUAACCUAGCUAGAUAAGUUAAUAGUUGGUGAGAACGUCAAGCGUAGCUAACGUUAUUAUUUCCCACAAGAACGUGGUGCCACCUUCUCUAAAAAUGAGCAAGUUUGAUCUUGUUGACAUGUUUAUCCGGUGAACGCUCUCUUGAUAAUGUGAGCUAACGUUACUAACCUUGCUUUCCUUGUUGCUUUCUUGAUAGCAGCUAGGAAGCUAACUAACGUUAGCUACAAUAACCCGCCUGAAAGCAAAACUUUCCGUAGCCGUCCACGAUUAAAGCGAAAAUUAUAGUAUUAAUGACAUAGGUAAUAAACGGUCUUAUGUAUUCGGAGAAGAUCAAACGAAAAACCGAUCUGGACUGACGACUGACUGACUGACUGACUAGGUGUGUCUUCCAAACCGCGAAA